rnacentral:rRNA from 1 species
AUGGAUAAGUCUGGGGAGAGGGUUUUGGAUUUUCUUCUAAAUUUGCUUGAGAACUUUGUCCAGAUCCUUGGACUUCCGAAGCUGAAGGAAACAAUUGCAACUUGCUGCUGGUAUUUGUGGUGGGAAAGGAGAAAGCAUACGCAUGGGGGGACACCGCAAACUGCAUCCCAAAUUAAUCUCUCAGUUCGAGCAAUUGUGGCGAAUUUUAUCUCAGCUUAUUCACCUAAGGCGCGAGUACGCCUUGAUGGCCGGGUCAGACCGAGGCAUGAUUGCGUCAAGCUUAAUGUGGAUGCGGGUUUCGAUGCUGACACACUCGAAGGCUCGGUUGGAGCUGUCAUCCGAGAUCAUAACGGCAAGUUCAUAGCGGCUGCAAAUAAAAAAUUGAAUAUCUGUUAUGAUGCACUCACGAUAGAAGCCAUUGCGGUCAGGUUUGGUUUGAACUUGGCUCGUACAGCAGGCUGCAAUAGAAUCGAACUGAAUUCGGAUAGUUUGGAGGUAAUAGGGGCACUAAAGAAGGGAUUUUCAUCUUCAGUAGCUAGUGCCAUCUUUGAUGACUGCUACUUUAUGUCUCUUGAUUUUUCCCAUACCUUGUAUGAGCACUGCUGUAGAGAGAAUAAUCGUGUAGACCAUGAGUUAGCUAGGCUUGCUAAAUUCUCACCCCCUCAUGUAUGGUUGGAUUCCCCACCCAGGGAAGUCUUACUGUUGGUUGUAUCUGAUGCUACUAUUGUAACAGUUUAA